AUUAUAUGAAGAAACAUGAACAAUAUUUAUUAGAGUGAAUGGCUGCUGAGAAGCAGCCUGCAAAAGCUCUCAUCCACAAUGUACAGGCUGAGAAGUACUGAUACAUACACUCAUAACCAUAGCAAUAAUGUUCUGAGGAGGCUUCCAAGGAAAUGCUGCAUUUAACAAUCAAUUUUAAAGUUUAUUUUUUUACAUCCUUUAUGAAACAUGACAGAUACAAAAAUGAUAAGCUCAUCUGCUAUCAAAAGCAAUUUCGCAGAUUUCAGUGGGUCUUUUUCCUCCAAGUACUAUAUGUUUGAGUGCUAAUUUUUUACGUAACUGAUGGUAAGAGAAAAGGCAACUGCUGAGUUCUCUCCAAGAGUAAAAGACCAUUUAUUUACACUUGUCCUUCCAUAAAGUCAAAGGCCGACAUAUUCCCUGAAGACACUCACGUAAAUGAUGUUGUUUCUUUUCUAACAGUAAAACAAAAACAAUAACCUGUUUUGGGAUUUGAGUAACU
rnacentral:lncRNA from 1 species